rnacentral:miRNA from 1 species
CUUUCCAUGAUAAUAUCUUUCACACCGCUGUGUUCUCUGAUCAUUUCAUUUGGAAUACGAUCCAGAAGGGAAAUUCCCAACAUAGCUCACUCCAUUGCCCUUUCAGCUACCAAUAGUUGCUGCUCUUCUCUCUUAGUCAGUGCCCACGUUUCGCUGCCAUACAACAUGGCUGGCAGCACUGUUGAAUUGAAGAUAUUUGUAUGUGUGGUCUUAUUGAUUUUUCCUUUGAGGAUGUCCU